rnacentral:rRNA from 1 species
CAGCAUGAGAUUAGCUUGCUAAUCUUGAUGGCGACCGGCGCACGGGUGAGUAACGCGUAUCCAACCUCCCCUUAGUAGGGCAUAGCCCGGCGAAAGUCGGAUUAAUACCCUAUGUUCUUCGUAGAGGACAUCUGAAAUGAAGCAAAGACUUGUCGCUAAGGGAUGGGGAUGCGUCUGAUUAGGUAGUCGGCGGGGUAACGGCCCACCGAGCCUGCGAUCAGUAGGGGUUCUGAGAGGAAGGUCCCCCACAUUGGAACUGAGACACGGUCCAAACUCCUACGGGAGGCAGCAGUGAGGAAUAUUGGUCAAUGGGCGAGAGCCUGAACCAGCCAAGUAGCGUGCAAGGGAUGACGGCCCUAUGGGUUGUAAACUGCUUUUAUGCGGGGAUAAAGUGCACCACGUGUGGUGUUUUGUAGGUACCGCAUGAAUAAGGACCGGCUAAUUCCGUGCCAGCAGCGGC